GGCUUCCUGAUGCUUACCACAGGCUGUGUUCUUACACUUACUGCAUAGAAGGAGGAGGGAAAGUAAACCUACCCCAUUAUACUUCAGCUCAGGCCCUGAGCCUGCUCUAUAUUGUGAAUGGGAAGACAUGG
rnacentral:snoRNA from 1 species